rnacentral:rRNA from 1 species
CACGUAGGGUGCGAGCGUUGUCCGGAAUUAUUGGGCGUAAAGAGCUCGUAGGCGGUGUGUCGCGUCGGCCGUGAAAACCUGCAGCUUAACUGUGGGCUUGCGGUCGAUACGGGCAUCACUGGAGUUCGGCAGGGGAGACUGGAAUUCCUGGUGUAGCGGUGAAAUGCGCAGAUAUCAGGAGGAACACCGGUGGCGAAGGCGGGUCUCUGGGCCGAUACUGACGCUGAGGAGCGAAAGCGUGGGGAGCAAACCGG